rnacentral:RNase_P_RNA from 1 species
GAGAGUAGACGCAGGUGGUUGCAGAUCAGUCCUAGUCACUGGUUUGAGGAAAGUCCGGGCUCCCGAAAGACCAAACUUGCUGGAUAACGUCCAGUGCGAGCGAUCGUGAGGAUAGUGCCACAGAAAGAUACCGCCAGAGCAAUUAAAAAUUAAAAAUUAAAAAUGUAAAAUGAGCAAUCAAUUUUUAAUUUUUAAUUUUACAUUUUUAAUUGAUCUGGUAAGGGUGCAAAGGUGCGGUAAGAGCGCACCAGCAGUAUCGAGAGGUGCUGGCUCGGUAAACCCCGGUUGGGAGCAAGGCGAUAGGAACUACGGUUGGUCUUUUACCAGUUCCGCUCAAUGAGAGCCGCUAGAGGCGUUUGGUAACAAGCGUCCCAGAUAGAUAACUGCCCUCGCAAGAGAACAGAACCCGGCUUAUGUACUGCUCUCUCCC